CCUACGGGAGGCAGCAGUGGGGAAUCUUAGACAAUGGGGGAAACCCUGAUCUAGCCAUGCCGCGUGAGCGAUGAAGGCCUUAGGGUUGUAAAGCUCUUUCAGCUGGGAAGAUAAUGACUGUACCAGCAGAAGAAGCCCCGGCUAACUCCGUGCCAGCAGCCGCGGUAA
rnacentral:rRNA from 1 species